rnacentral:lncRNA from 1 species
CAAUAUACAGUGUUGAGGUACUUCUGAAUUUUCAUCAUUUCACUAUAAGUUGCAAAUGUUACCUGCUCAUUACCAAUGAUCAGACUCCAAUACAAGAUAUUGUGUACUCAUCAUUGAUGCGUCUUUUUUGUAAAUAGGUUUUGUACCGAAUAUUAAUAUUUAUAUAUGUAUGUAGACAGAUGUGUUUGUGCAUGUAUAGAGUUUGGAAAUAAUGUGCAACUGUGCAAGUAAAUAUAUAUAUAUUUUUUGUUGGUAACCAUGUUAAUGGUGCGAAGUAUGACUAAUUUCCGCCAAAGAACCCGGAUGACCACUUUUAGUGGGGGUCUCGCCUCCUAACCACAUUUUUUCAUUCACAAGACUCGAACUUGAUACCUUGCUUAAGGGAUAUGAGUUCAAUUCCACGCUAAUGUGAUGUUGGUUUGUUGGCAUAUUGAAAAAUUAAUGUGCGUGUAAGUCUAGCAUUGUGAAAGUGUGGCGUUAUAUGGAAAUUACUUUUUCUCCAAAGAAUUUACUGAUGCAUAGCUGAAUCUGAAUGAGACUGGUCUUAGUCUUACACCAAAGUAUGUGGAAAUAUCUGGGAAGGGGAAACCAGAAAGUAACUAAUUGGGAAAAAAGUUAAGAGAAAUAAUACGCUAGACUACUUUCUAUUGGUCUACCGAUACACCAUUUACACACACUCUUUAAAUUUUUUCAGCAAAGUCCUCCCAGGAGUGGAGUGUACUCAAUCUCGUAGAAGAUGCAACCACGGCUGUUCUCAAUCGGUAACUAUAGGCUGUGAAACAUUUCUGCAUCUCACUCCCUAUUUCUUCCAAAUACCAAUCAAAUUUUUACUCUCCUCAACAUGCCACCGGGGAAGAUGGCAGCAGUACUACCAUAGCUACCAUU